GUGGCGUGCUGGGGUGGCACGAGGCAGGCUGCUGGGGACGGGAGGAUUCGGGCAGACGCGUGCCUGGAAGUGGCGUGUUGGGGGCCGCGCACAGAGGGGCCGGGUCUGCACGGGCUGGAAAGACAAGGCGCUACAAGCGGCAGCAGAGGGGAUCAGGGGGCGACUCUCUCCUCCUCAUCCCAGAUUGCAAGAGUCAGAGGAACCAAGACCGCUGAAUAAGCAACGUGACUGCGGUCAAGCUCGCAGAGGAGGUUGCCGGGUGCACGGAAAUACUCACCGCCGUCGCAUCAAACAAGUGACAGGGAGCAAAGAGCAGCAUCACCUUAGACACCAAGGCCCAGUGAAGUCCAUGGGAAAUCGAUGGGCUUUGGGCCAGCUCCUUAGUUACUGGCACUGCGAUGUCCCUUCUGGACUGUGACUGAAUAGCACGAAUUCCCUACAUGCGUGGAACAGCUCUUUGAAAGAGGACACCUUCACUGGCUUGAACAGGACACCGUCAACUUGACGUUCACCUCUCUCUGAGACUGUUGUUCCAGAUAACGUCCACGGUCACCAGCACUGAAAAGAGUUAGUGAUAGCUGGGGAAAAAGAGAAAUGACUUCUGAUUUUCUUCUGUUUUGUUUGACAGCACUUUGUAUAAUUUUAUUUUGUUCAUUCCCUCGGGCACUUUCUUAAGCAGUCAGCUUCUUUCUUGUUCUUACAAAAACCUCUGCAAAGACUUAUUUAAAUGGAGUUUUUGUUUGAAAGAAAAAAAAUUGUGGUGCAUAAAAAAAAAGGAGGCUGGGGAUUUUUCAGAUUCAUUUGAAAAAUUCAAGCUGACAGUGUCCCUUUAAGAACAGGAAAUGAGUGUAUUUAGAAGUCUUUGUUGGCUUCCUGCCUGUUCCAUCCUUCUCUGUCAAUGCAGAUUAGCGACGUCUGUUUUGAUCUUGCCGUGAGCACUGUGGGCUGUGCGCAUUGUGGCAUUGGGGCCUGCAAGCACUGGUGUAACUGUGCUCGUGUGAAUCGUCCUACUAGAGUCAGUCCCUUUGCUCACACCUGCGAAGUUACCGUCUACAGUAGUCUUAACUGUAUUUGUGCGAGUAAGGAAACAGCUGCUCUGUCUCUGCAGCACACCAACUUGAUUCACUGAACACGGGGCUCAAAAUAAUUGACGGAGCUCAAACGAAAAACCAUUUCUCCUUCUUACACAGAACAUUGUCAGAGGCUUUGGGGUGUCGACUGAAAAACAUUUCCUGCCCUGAAGAGUCCCACUCCCUCGAUCAGGUAGACAGCAGAGCAAAUAAAUACAAGACAAAACACAUCUCCUUUGAAUCACCUCUAGGGAGCAGGUCUUGGCAGAAGACAAGAAAGCUAGUGAUGCUGUAAUAAUAAUCAUGAGAAUAAUAAUUUUAUUUAAAAAGACACCCCCUCCUCCCCCGGCGGUGUUCUGGAUGCUGCACAGCAAUUUUAAGUAUAACUGAGAGCAGCAACAGUAUGCAGCCGAAUGAACAGCAUACUAACAACGUGUCGUUACUUUAGGGAAGAUCUUUGCAGCAGCUGGCAAUUGGAAACUACCCGUUUCGGGGGCUUGUUAAAAGUGGAAAGGGAUAAAGCUGUGAAACGCGUGUCUGUGCUCCUCUCACACAGCAUAGGAGUGUGCAAGUCAUAGGCCGAAAGGAUUAAACCUGGGAGACAAAAAAUUAGGGAGCUCAAGCCUUAUUUUGGACUGGAUUUGGCAAAUGCUUACACACCUGCUUACACUUGCUCAGCUGAAU